rnacentral:rRNA from 1 species
AUUGAACGCUGGCGGCAGGCCUAACACAUGCAAGUCGAGCGGAUGAAGGGAGCUUGCUCCUGGAUUCAGCGGCGGACGGGUGAGUAAUGCCUAGGAAUCUGCCUGGUAGUGGGGGAUAACGUCCGGAAACGGGCGCUAAUACCGCAUACGUCCUGAGGGAGAAAGUGGGGGAUCUUCGGACCUCACGCUAUCAGAUGAGCCUAGGUCGGAUUAGCUAGUUGGUGGGGUAAAGGCCUACCAAGGCGACGAUCCGUAACUGGUCUGAGAGGAUGAUCAGUCACACGGGAACUGAGACACGGUCCAGACUCCUACGGGAGGCAGCAGUGGGGAAUAUUGGACAAAGGGCGAAAGCCUGAUCCAGCCAUGCCGCGUGUGUGAAGAAGGUCUUCGGAUUGUAAAGCACUUUAAGUUGGGAGGAAGGGCAGUAAGUUAAUACCUUGCUGUUUUGACGUUACCAACAGAAUAAGCACCGGCUAACUUCGUG